rnacentral:rRNA from 1 species
UGAAUACGAGACGCUAAGGCGUCGAAGUAGUGUAUGUCAUACUUCCAAGAAAAGCUUGCACUGUCAUAGAUAAAAAACGCCUGUACCAUAACCGACACAGGUGGGUAGGUAGAGUAUACUAAGGGGCGCGAGAUAACUCUCUCUAAGGAACUCGGCAAAAUAACUCCGUAACUUCGGGAGAAGGAGUGCCUUAUUCGUAAGGUUGCAAUAACAAGAUCCAAGCAACUGUUUAUCAAAAACACAGGUCUCCGCUAAGUCGUAAGACGAUGUAUGGGGGCUGACGCCUGCCCAGUGCCAGAAGGUUAAAGAAGUUGGUUAGCAAUUGCGAAGCUGAUAACUGAAGCCCUGGUGAACGGCGGCCGUAACAAUAACGGUCCUAAGGUAGCGAAAUUCCUUGUCGGGUAAGUUCCGACCCGCACGAGAGGCGUAAUGAUUUGGAUACUGUUUCGGAGAGGGGCUCGGUGAAAUAGACUUGUCUGUGAAGAUGCGGACUACCUGCACCAGGACAGAAAGACCCUAUGAAGCUUUACUGUAACUUGAAAUUGAAAUUGGACUUUAUUCGCGCAGUACAGGUGGGAGGCGUUGAUUAUAAUCUUGUGGGAUUAUUGGAGCCAUCAGUGAGAUACCACUCUUGUAAUGUUAGAUUUCUAACUUUGAAUCAUUAUCUGGUCAAAGAACAGUUUCAGGCGGGCAGUUUGACUGGGGCGGUCGCCUCCUAAACGGUAACGGAGGCGUACAAAGGUUUCCUCUGAACGGUUAGAAAUCGUAUCUAGAGUGUAAAGGCAUAAGGAAGCUUGACUGUGAGACCUACAAGUCGAGCAGGGACGAAAGUCGGUCUUAGUGAUCUGACGGUACUGAGUGGAAAGGCCGUCACUCAACGGAUAAAAGUUACUCUAAGGAUAACAGGCUGAUCUCCCCCAAGAGUUCACAUCGACGGGGAGGUUUGGCACCUCGAUGUCGGCUCAUCGCAUCCUGGGGCGGUAGUACGUCCCAAGGGUUGGGCUGUUCGCCCAUGAAAGCGGUACGCGAGCUGGGUUCAGAACGUCGUGAGACAGUUCGGUCCAUAUCCGGUGUAGGCGUUAGAAUAUUGAGAGGAGCCUUCUUUAGUACGAGAGGACCGAGAAGGACAUACCUCUGGUGUACCAGUUAUCGUGCCAACGGUAAGCGCUGGGUAGCUAUGUAUGGAGUGGAUAACCGCUGAAAGCAUCUAAGUGGGAAGCCCACCUCAAGAUAAGUAUUCUG